CCGCCCAGCUCCGCCGCCAGCCGCACAAGGGAAGGAAAAAGAGAGAAACACACGCGGGCGAGUCGGGUGUGCGCGGACGGAGAUUGACAAGCCUCUCCUCCAAUCCAAGGGAGGCGCCGGCCCGGAGUGUGUGGGGCUAACAAAUCUAUGGCUGUUCAGACACUCUGCCCAUAAAUCCCUGUUCAUGGGCACUAGAUCACUCCAAGCAGCUAUGAAAGCUUAUACAAUUUCUACAAUAUCUUUCUCUCAGUCUCAAAGUGUUUAUUGAGUUUUCGACGUUAAAUACAGUGAAAGUGUGAGAACAAAAUGUGUUGCAAAAGAAAAGAGUGAAACAUAGCCAAAAAGGAAAAAGGAGGAACGGGGGCAGAGAGGGAGAAAAAGAUAGAUCAAAAAGAGAAAAAAAACCUCGACUUCCCAUCAGUCUCUCAAGGGUGCAAAACUCGUCAUUUGCAGUUCUUCUAUCCAUCAAUUCCAAGCUACCCGAUUCUGCCGCCUGCUUUAUAAACCAGACGUAUCUAUUAAAAAUGUAUUUCCAUUCUUCUGAAUAAAGUCUCUAAAACCUGACCAAUCAGUUUUCUUAUUCCCGUCACUCAAUUUUUGACUCAGAAAGUCCAUCUGUAUUAUGUCCAAUACUUUGAGGACCCAAUCGUCUAUGUUUGGUAUUUUCUUUUCUUUCCAUACUUUCGCUAAUACAAGUCUUGCUGCAGUGCUCAGAUGAAAAAAAAAUCUAUCUUGGCUUUCAUUCAAUUUGGAAUUUGUUAAGCCCAAUAGGUACAUUUUAGGAUCUAAUUAAAAUUUUAUUUUUAAUA